rnacentral:rRNA from 1 species
UGGGGAAUAUUGCACAAUGGAGGGAACUCUGAUGCAGCGACGCCGCGUGAGUGAUGAAGGAAUUCGUUUCGUAAAACUCUGUUCUAUGGGAAGAAAAGGACUGUACCAUAGGAGAAAGCUCCGGCUAAAUACGUGCCAGCAGCCGCGGUAAUACGUAUGGAGCGAGCGUUGUCCGGAAUUAUUGGGCGUAAAGGGUGCGCAGGCGGCUUUACAAGUUGGAUGUGAAAUAUUGUGGCUCAACCACAAACGUGCAUCCAAAACUGCAAAGCUUGAGUUAAGGAGAGGUAAGUGGAAUUCCUGGUGUAGCGGUGGAAUGCGUAGAUAUCAGGAAGAAUACCGGUGGCGAAGGCGACUUACUGGACUUAAACUGACGCUCAGGCACGAAAGCGUGGGGAGCAAACAGG